UGCAGCAUCUCACCUCAACCCCAGCAGCAUCAGUGAGCCAACUGCCUGCUGGUGAAGGUGCAACGCCCCAGCCCGGGCUCCCAAGGUCCUGGUGAGAAGGAAUCCGAGAAAUCGCCAGAUGUAGCCCAGCGUCUUACAGUUUCCUGAUGGCCCUCAGAGAGCACUGCCUGGGCCGCUACCGUUCCGGAGGAGGCAACAUUUGAAUAGAAGGGUCAUCUUCUGGAGCCGAAGCCAUGAAUAUAGCAAGCUGUCUUCUGUGAAAGUGGCCUUCUAGACAUGACCUUUGCACCCUCCUGCCCUGGUCGAGUGCCUCUGUCUGACCAGCAGCCUGUUCUGAGGGCCCUUGCUCUAGCUGGGAACCUGGAUGGUAACAGAGGACGCCUCUUUUCUUCUUGAAGGUGCCACCUCUCUGCCCAGGCAGUCUAGCCCCGAGCAGACGGCACAGUGACGUGGAUUGCACGAAAGGACACACCCUUCCCCACCCUGCCACCUCCCAGUCUUUGGGUUCGUCUUCUGUCUUCUCUGGACAAAAAUAUCAGCCAGACAAGCUAUUGGCCAGUGGGGUAACAGAAACCUUACCAGCACUCUGAUGUGCUUCUGCCUCUUGGUGUCCGUUUGGGCAGAGAUUUGUGACCGGAAGACCAGAGUUCAAAUCCCGGUUCUGCCAUUUUCCACUGGUAUGCUCUUCCACAUACUUCCUCCUUCAAAAAUAACAAUGAUAAUAAUUAAGUGAAGGUAACAAAAAAAAGUUCUACUUCACAAAAUGGUUGUGAGGAUUUUCAAAGUUUU